rnacentral:rRNA from 1 species
UUGCCUCAGUAACGGCGAGUGAAGCGGCAACAGCUCAAAUUUGAAAUCUGGCCUCACGGUCCGAGUUGUAAUUUGUAGAGGAUGCUUCGAGCAUGGUCUGGCCUAAGUUCCUUGGAACAGGACGUCAUAGAGGGUGAGAAUCCCGUAUGCGGCCAGGUGCCUACGCUCAUGUGAAGCUCCUUCGACGAGUCGAGUUGUUUGGGAAUGCAGCUCAAAAUGGGUGGUAAAUUUCAUCUAAAGCUAAAUAUUGGCCAGAGACCGAUAGCGCACAAGUAGAGUGAUCGAAAGAUGAAAAGCACUUUGGAAAGAGAGUUAAACAGUACGUGAAAUUGUUGAAAGGGAAGCGCUUGCAACCAGACUUGCGUGCGGCCGAUCAUCCGGUGUUCUCACCGGUGCACUCGGUCGCGCUCAGGCCAGCAUCGGUUUUGGUGGUUGGAUAAAGGCCCUAGGAAUGUAGCUUCUCUCGGGGAGUGUUAUAGCCUAGGGUGCAAUGCAGCCCACCGGGACCGAGGACCGCGCUUCGGCUAGGAUGCUGGCGUAAUGGUUGUAAGCGACCCGUCUUGAAACACGGACCAAGGAGUCUAACAUCUAUGCGAGUGUUUGGGUGUCAAACCCAUACGCGUAAUGAAAGUGAACGGAGGUGAGAACCCUUAAGGGUGCAUCAUCGACCGAUCCUGAUGUCUUCGGAUGGAUUUGAGUAAGAGCAUAGCUGUUGGGACCCGAAAGAUGGUGAACUAUGCCUGAAUAGGGUGAAGCCAGAGGAAACUCUGGUGGAGGCUCGCAGCGGUUCUGACGUGCAAAUCGAUCGUCAAAUUUGGGCAUAGGGGCGAAAGACUAAUCGAACCAUCUAGUAGCUGGUUCCUG